UACGGGGGGGGCAAGCGUUGUCCGGAUUUAUUGGGCGUAAAGAGCUCGUAGGCGGCUUGUCGCGUCGACUGUGAAAACCCGUGGCUCAACCAUGUGGUCUGCAGUCGAUACGGGCAGGCUAGAAUUCGGUAGGGGAGACUGGAAUUCCUGGUGUAGCGGUGAAAUGCGCAGAUAUCAGGAGGAACACCGGUGGCGAAGGCGGGUCUCUGGGCCGAUAUUGACGCUGAGGAGCGAAAGCGUGGGGAGCGAACAGG
rnacentral:rRNA from 1 species